UAUUUAGUUCUCAGAAUUAUUUCUCUGAAAUUCAUUAACAGGAUUUCUACUGCUGUUUUCUUUCUGGAAUGCUUCUUGAUGUUCUUAUGUCAGCCAGAGCUUUCUCCUCUGUUGCAGAUAAGAGCAAUGGCCAGAACAUGGAACUAUUCCUGUGAGUCAAGACUUCAGCAAUACCUUGAUAUUUGUGAAUUAUGCAGAAUUUGCUUAUAAUACACAGACUUAUCCAGCUCUAUUGCCUAGAGAAAAACACAUUUUAUCAUCACUAUUCAUGCCUUCCAUUCUUGACACCUCUUUGAAAGCACAAGAAGUGCUGCCUUGUGUAACAUUGUGGUCAUCCGCUCUAGGGAGAGAUUCCUGCUACAUUAUGAGUUGGUGGUAAGCCUUACUUUCUGGCAUAAUAAAAAUAGAUGGUCUGUCAAAAGAUGAUGUUCUCAAUGCUUUGUUUUGUAGUUCUAUCCUGCCAUCUUCUCUGAAUUAGCAAAUGUGAAAUGCAGCAUAUGGAUUUAUGAAAAGAAAAGUGCAAGAUGUGAAAUAUCCUGAGUAUCUGGAUCUUCGAACAUACGCAUCUCAAUCCGUUGGAGAACCACUCCUCUAUGCCUUAUAUGCAGUCCUGGUAUAUAGAGGUGUCAGUAGUCAUGCAGGACGUUAUUUCUGCUACACAAAGAAAGUGUGCAGUUCCUCUGAAGACAUGGCUGCUUUUAUUUGCAGGCUGCUGGUAGACUUUGAUAUGAGAUGAAUGAUGCCUCUGUAGUCUUUUGUGAAAUCAAAAUGGUUCUCAGUCAGCAAGCUUAUUUACUUUUUAAUAUCAGAAAUCAAGUCAUUUAAAUGGAAAUGAACCCCUAAAAGAAGAUCCAAAUACCAUUGCUGUUACCCUAGAAAGGCCUUCUUCGGCUCCACCAACAGCUUGUGUUCAAAACUAGGCAAUUACCAGGCCUUUAUUUGCUGAUCCCUCAGAAAAACAAAAGAUCACUUCAUAACAAACUGCCUGCACAUCAAACUGUCUCAGCCUGACUGUUUUAGCAGUGCUGUGGUGGAUGAGGAUCUA